ensembl:lncRNA
CCCUUAACCAACAGUGCAGUUCAAGAAGAAGAAAAUAUUUACCAAGGAGACUAAAAUACAAAGUUAUAAUAAAAAGUAACACAAUAAGAACAACAAUAAUGAGGUUAAAUACAGGGGGAACCGGUACCGAGCCAGUGUGGAGGUUAUAUACAGGGGGUACCGGUACAGAGUCAAUGUGGAGGUUAUAUACAGGGGGUACUGGUACAGAGUCAAUGUGGAGGCUAUAUACAGGGGGUACUGGUACAGAGUCAAUGUGGAGGCUAUAUACAGGGGGUCCUGGUACAGAGUCAAUGUGGAGGCUAUAUACAGGGGGUACCGGUACAGAGUCAGUGUGGAGGUUAUAUACAGGGGGUACCGGUACAGAGUCAAUGUGGAGGCUAUAUACAGGGGGUCCUGGUACAGAGUCAAUGUGGAGGCUAUAUACAGGGGGUACCGGUACAGAGUCAAUGUGGAGGCUAUAUACAGGGGUACAGAGUCAAUGUGGAGGCUAUAUACAGGAGUACUGGUACAGAGUCAAUGUGGAGGCUAUAUACAGGAGUACUGGUACAGAGUCAAUGUGGAGGCUAUAUACAGGGGGUACUGGUACAGAGUCAAUGUGGAGGCUAUAUACAGGGGUACUGGUACAGAGUCAAUGUGGAGGCUAUAUACAGGGGUACCGGUACAGAGUCAAUGUGGAGGCUAUAUACAGGGGGUACCGGUACAGAGUCAAUGUGGAGGCUAUAUACAGGGGUCCUGGUACAGAGUCAAUG